GCGUUUGUGGUUUAGUGGUAAAAUCCAUCGUUGCCAAUUGGCUAUACAGCUGUAUAGCUAUUGAUUCGAUGGGCCCCGGGUUCGAUUCCCGGCGAACGCA
rnacentral:tRNA from 1 species